rnacentral:rRNA from 1 species
UCAAAUUUGAAAUCUGGCCCCCUCGGGGUCCGAGUUGUAAUUUGCAGAGGAUGCUUCGGGUGCGGCCCCCGUCUAAGUGCCCUGGAACGGGCCGUCAUAGAGGGUGAGAAUCCCGUCUGGGACGGGGUGUCCGCGUCCGUGUGAAGCUCCUUCGACGAGUCGAGUUGUUUGGGAAUGCAGCUCUAAAUGGGUGGUAAAUUUCAUCUAAAGCUAAAUACUGGCCGGAGACCGAUAGCGCACAAGUAGAGUGAUCGAAAGAUGAAAAGCACUUUGAAAAGAGAGUUAAAAAGCACGUGAAAUUGUUGAAAGGGAAGCGCUUGCGACCAGACUCGCCCGCGGGGUUCAGCCGGCAUUCGUGCCGGUGUACUUCCCCGCGGGCGGGCCAGCGUCGGUUUGGGCGGCCGGUCAAAGGCCCCCGGAAUGUAGCACCCUUCGGGGUGCCUUAUAGCCGGGGGUGCAAUGCGGCCAGCCUGGACCGAGGAACGCGCUUCGGCACGGACGCUGGCAUAAUGGUCGUAAACGACCCGUCUUGAAACACGGAC